GGGAAUGUGGCUUAGUGGUAAAGUGCUUGCCUAACAUGCAUGAAGCCAUGGGUUCGAUUCCUCAGUACUA
rnacentral:tRNA from 1 species